CCGGCGGGGCGGCGGGCGCGCCGGGGGGGGGGGGGGGGCGGAGCGCAGCGCGCCGCUGCUCCGCGGCCGCCCCGCGUAGGGGAGGCCCGCCCGCCGCCGGCGCUCCCGCCGAGACGGGCCACUUGGUAUCGCCCUGCCCGCCUACCCGGGCCGGGGCCGGGGCCGGGGCCGCCGGCGGCGGCGGGCAGGAAGUGCGGGGCCGGCGGGGCAGCGCGGAGAGGCGGCUCCGCGGAGCUGCGCGCCCGCGGAGACGGGGCGGGGGGGGGGGUGCGCGCCCGACCCGCCGGCGCUCGCUGCCGGCCUCACCGGCAACGUGGGCGGGGGGGGUGGAAAAAAGUUUGGAUUUUUCGGGUUGGGGUUUUUUUUUCCCUUUAAUUUUUUUUUUAAACCCCAAAGCAAAUAAGGAAACGAUGGAGCAGGACUCCCGUGGCACCAGCUCACACCGGGCCCUGCGCGCAUCUCCAGCGCGGCUGGAGGGGGUGGCAAGUUUUCGGUGCGCGGGGGGGGGGGGGGCGCGACGGUGGCAGCUCCGGAGCGGCCGGCGGAGGGGAGCGCGGCGGCCCCCCGACACGCCGCACGCUUCCCUGCUGAGCAGGGCGAUGCUUGUCCGCCCCCCCUGCCCCCCGAAGUGCCCCCCCCAUCCCAGCAGUGCCCCCCAGCAAGGCCGAUAGCGGUACAGGUGAAUUCGGUGCAGGUAAAUUCGGUACCGUCAGCCGAGCCCGUGGGUGGGUGUAGUCUCACCCGGCUGGAGACAGGCGCUCGCCGCUCUGUGCCAGACAUGAACUUGCACUGCCUGCCAGCGUACCCCAUCACAAAAUGGAGGGGAUUUAGGGACUGAUGCUAAUCUGCUUCCUGAGGGAGGUCAUUGGAAGCGUGGCUCAGAAAUAUGGCCCGCAGCACAGACAAACAGGCGAAUCUUCCCCUUAGGAUAUUUUUUGCCCCCUCCCGCCCAGUUCCUAUCCAGCAUAUUUUUAAGUUGAAAAUAUAUGGAGAAUUUAAUGUAGUUGCCACUGUGCCUUAUCGGUAGCUUUCACUCUGCCUCCCCUUAUAGGAGACUAAGGGAGCACGUUCAGUGCAGUCGUGAGAUAAGAACUGAAUAGAGCUGAAAUCAAGGCCACACCAGGAAAAAGAUACUUAAAGAUUAGCGUCAAACCUUGGGAGGCAAGGGGGGGCAGGAACAAACAGAAAAAUCCAAAGCAGCAGUUUUUCAAAGCUUAUCUCUGCACAAAGUCCAACAGAUUUUUAUAAGGACAGAAGAAAAAAACCCAAACCAAACAAACAAACCACCACCACCACCACCAACCAAACCUUUCACAUGUAGUCCAAAGCUUGAAUACUGAAACUGAAUACAUUGAUGCAGAGAGAUGACAAUGUUACUCAACAAUAACCACUUUCUCCAAGGCCUUUCGGAAACAGUUCAACCAUUUUGCCAGCUUAAAAAAAAAAUAAUAAAAACGUCAGCCCAAGGCAAAGAACAAGCUUGGAAACUAAAGAACCUGAACAGUUAAAACUAGAAGCAACUCGACCAGGAACACAUAAUGGAAAACUGUAUGCAACCGCCAUCGCUGCCAACUUCGCAUACUUGAAGCUGGGUUCUCCUUGCAGGAGAAGAUUACACUUAGGAGUGAGAAACAAAGAGGGAUUAAGUGAGAUUCAUCUGCAUCAUUCAAACUAUGCUGAAUUUGGAGAUACUGUGUGAAAUUCCUUCUGCUGUCUGGGAUUUAAUCACCAAUGGAUUAGAUAGAAACUAGAGUAUCUGAGUUCAUCAGCUUGACCUGGACAGCCCAGCACCAAAAAACAAAGGAAGAAACUGCUGGCAAGGAUUAAGGAUUCAGCCUGCUCUUUCCCCGUUGGUCUUCUGGUACCUGUCAUGGUCGUUGGGAUGGAAAGCACUGGUGGCAUCCUUGAAGAUGGCCGAUUGCUCCAGAUGCUUUCAGGCCAGGUGUCUGGUAGAAAGUUUGCAUGCAUCGGACAGGCUUUGAUCUGCCUCUGCCAGAAGAGCCAGGACUUGCCUCCGCUGCAGGCAGUGACAGCAAAAGCAUGUCUUCUGGCUUUGAGCUGGGGACACGGUCAUCCUGGUCAUCCCCACGCUGUCUUCCUAAAGGCGGAUGGCACUUCUCCGGGGGGAGCUGCUGGCCGGCAGUUUUGCCUGGGAAGGAGCUCCUGCCCGGCCAGGGCAUUUGCAGGACAACCUGGCGGGAGCGGUCGGAGGAGCAACCCCUGGAGCACCCCCUCCAUCACCGAGCUUCCUCACAACUUCCAUUUGAUGGAAGAAAGCAACGUUUCAAAAGACACUGUAAUUAUUUCUUUCAUUCUGUUUUAAUCUUGCUUUUGGAAAUCUCUCACUGAAGAAUCGCUUUAGAGAAAUUCAAAUGAAAACAGUAACAGAGAAGUGCAGCCGGUGUUAUUUCACUGCGAUAAAGCCAAGCUGGAUGGCAGGUGCUUGGGGAAAUAUGAAGGAAAAUUGUUUAUCAGAACUAUUUUCUUUGAUAAGUUUUUUCUUCCAGUAAUAAAAACCUGGAUGCUCAUCUUGUAAAGCCUCCCAUUUUUUGCUACCAGAUGCUGGAGCUUGAAUUUUUGCCUACAUCAGUUUAACCCCUCUUUGUGCUCCUUUGCAUUUCCAAGCUGGACUUAACAGGCAAACAAACAUAACUUGGGAAAUGCCAGCUGCACGCAUUGCUCUCAACCGUAGGAUGGGCAAGCAGCAUCGCCUGAACAGGCAGACCCACUAUUUAACGUACUACCAAAACAAAUAUGCCAAGGGGUUUUGCCAGCCAUCUGGAUCACAGAAACGGGAGGUGGAAAAGAGCAGGUAGGUUUUUACAGUGCAUUUUCCUGCCAAAGCAGGAUUGUUCCCUGCAAUACCUUCUAGUGUACUUCCCUGGCCUGUUUUAAAUGACCUUGGAGAAUGGGGAGAGGCGGGAGGCAGGAAUCUGCUAGUACUCUCCAGAGUCUCUUUGUCUAGUUUGAAUAAUAUAAUGUGGAGCAAGGGCAAAUGGGUGUUCAGAGAAUUUAGCUACAACACAAUAUUUAAUGUAAUUUUUGCAUGCUUUUUCAUCUCCAACCUACUUGCUAUGCAUGCCACUGUGCCACUAAUAUCGGAUAGAUGUAAAAAAAAAAAGUAACAAAAAUAGUGGCAAUACUCCAUCUUUGGAUGAUUGCUCUUCUUUUUCUUAGCAGGAGAUUGUCUUGGGUGCUUUCUUCCCCUGUGAGGAAAAAUGAAUAGUGAGAGCUGUGAUGAUUGGCACUAAGCCUGAGAAGAGCAGAUGUGAGCCUGCACAGCUGGACAAAGAAAAAAAUGCACUUUGCUACCCACAUUUGUAUUAAGGUUGCCCCAGGGAUACCCCAGUGACUACGGGGAGGGGGGGAAACGACGACUUAGCAUACGAACAGCGAAAGCCAUCAGGCACAUUUACAUAUAUAAGAACACUGCUGUCCUUUUCAAAGUCAAAGAGGGCAGCGAUUAAAGCAACAUAAA